rnacentral:rRNA from 1 species
AUUGAACUCUGGCGGCAGGCUUAACACAUGCAAGUCGAACGAGUGGCGGACGGGUGAGUCAUGCUUGGGAAUCUAGUCUUUGGAGGGGGAUAACUACGGGAAACUGUACCUAAUACCGCUUACCAUAGGAUGCGCCCAAGUGGGAUUAGGUAGUUGGUGUGGUAAAGGCUCACCAGUCCGACGAUCGUGAGCUGGUCUGAGAGGAUGAUCAGCCACACUGGGACUGAGACACGGCCCCGACUCCUACGGGGGGCAGCAGUGGGGAAUAUUGCACAAGGUGCGAAAGCCUGAUACAGCCAUGCCGCGUGUAUGAUGAAGGCCUUAGGGUUGUAAAGUACUUUCAGCGGGGAGGCGUUACCCGCAGAAGAAGCACCGGGUAACUCCGUGCCAGCAGCCGCGGUAAUAG